AAAACAAAACCAUAUUUCGAGAGGCAUAACUUUUUCUAGAGAAGUGAAAAUGCUCUGGGAUUUGAACUGGGUAAAAGAUGUGUAAGUCUAGUUCAACCACACCAAAAUUUAGGAGAAUCCAACCAAAGAUGGAUUUUAUAUGAUUUUUCUAAAUUUGUUACUGCUUGCUGUUUUUCUAAAGUGUACUAAAUCAGUAGCCGAAUGAAGAGAAGGCUGAAUGGAUUAUAUAUGUCACAGAUGUUGGGCAGCAGCAACACUUUGAUAUGGUAUUCAAGAUUCUUGCCAAGUGCGAAGUUCCUUAGCCCUGGUGUCAGCGUCAAAGAUUGCUGAAAAGGCUGGAUGUUGUUUAGGAGUUAGAUUAGAUUUUUUUUUUAGUAUAAAGUUGUUAAUUCUUUUAAAUGUUUAUUUUAGAAGUUGAAUUUAUUUUUUCUUAAUUGUUUCAUUCAUAUCUUAUUAUGUA